AUGUUACAAGGGGAUAAUUUCAAGUUACAUCAAUACCAUAAAUUGUUCCUUUUACACUUAAAAGUACUACGAGAAAAGUUACAUGUUUCUAAGCCUAAUCCUAAUAUCCUAAACAUCUUUAGUGCAACCCAAAACCUGCUGACUAUUUCAGUACAAAAACAGAGUUUGCUGCCAAAUACUACAAAAUCAUGCUAA